rnacentral:rRNA from 1 species
GUCUUUUUGGUUUAAUAUAAAGUUUAACCUGCCCAUUGAAAAUAAUUAAAAGGCUGCAGUAUUUUGACUGUACAAAGGUAGCAUAAUCAUUAGUUUUUUAAUUGAAAACUUGUAUGAAUGGUUGGAUGAAAAAUUAACUUUUUUUAAUAAAAAAUUGAAUUUUACUUUUUAAUUAAAAGGUUAAAAUUUUUUUAAAAGACGAGAAGACCCUAUAGAGUUUUAUAAUUAUAUUUUUAUUUAUAAAAAAGUUUAUUAAAAUUUUUAUAAUUUAAAUUAUUUUAUUGGGGUGAUAUUAAAAUUUAAUUAACUUUUAAAAAUUAUUUACAUUUAUAUAUGAUUUUAUGAUCCAGAAAUUUUGAUUAAAAAAUUAAAUUACCUUAGGGAUAACAGCGUAAUUUUUUUUUAAGUUCAUAUUAAUAAAAAAAUUUGCGACCUCGAUGUUGGAUUAAGAUUAAAUUUUAGGUGCAGAAGUUUAAAAUUUAAGUCUGUUCGACUUUUAAAUUCUU